rnacentral:rRNA from 1 species
ACGUAAUAGAUACCCGGGUAGUCCACGCCCUAAACGAUGUCAACUAGUUGUUGGUGGAGUAAAAUCCAUUAGUAAACGCAGCUAAACGCGUGAAGUUGACCGCCUGGGGAGUACGGUCGCAAGAUUAAAACUCAAAGGAAUUGACGGGGCCCGCACAAGCGGUGGAUUAUGUGGAUUAAUUCGAUGCAACGCGAAAACCUUACCUGGCCUUGACAUGCCACUAACGAAGCAGAGAUGCAUUAGGUGCCCGAAAGGGAAAGUGGACACAGGUGCUGCAUGGCUGUCGUCAGCUCGUGUCGUGAGAUGUUGGGUUAAGUCCCGCAACGAGCGCAACCCUUGCCAAUAAUUGCCAUCAUUUAGUUGGGCACUUUAUUGGGACUGCCGGUGACAAACCGGA